CGACCCCAGCUCAGGCAAGAACACCCGCUGAGUUUAAGCAUAUAAUUAAGCGGAGGAAAAGAA
rnacentral:ncRNA from 1 species